rnacentral:rRNA from 1 species
AUAAUGCAGUCGAGCGAGCAGAACCAGCAGAUUUACUUCGGUAAUGACGCUGGGGACGCGAGCGGCGGAUGGGUGAGUAACACGUGGGGAACCUGCCCCAUAGUCUAGGAUACCACUUGGAAACAGGUGCUAAUACCGGAUAAUAAAGCAGAUCGCAUGAUCAGCUUAUAAAAGGCGGCGUAAGCUGUCGCUAUGGGAUGGCCCCGCGGUGCAUUAGCUAGUUGGUAAGGUAACGGCUUACCAAGGCAAUGAUGCAUAGCCGAGUUGAGAGACUGAACGGCCACAUUGGGACUGAGACACGGCCCAAACUCCUACGGGAGGCAGCAGUAGGGAAUCUUCCACAAUGGACGCAAGUCUGAUGGAGCAACGCCGCGUGAGUGAAGAAGGUUUUCGGAUCGUAAAGCUCUGUUGUUGGUGAAGAAGGAUAGAGGUAGUAACUGGCCUUUAUUUGACGGUAAUCAACCAGAAAGUCACGGCUAACUACGUGCCAGCAGCCGCGGUAAUACGUAGGUGGCAAGCGUUGUCCGGAUUUAUUGGGCGUAAAGCGAGCGCAGGCGGAAGAAUAAGUCUGAUGUGAAAGCCCUCGGCUUAACCGAGGAAUUGCAUCGGAAACUGUUUUUCUUGAGUGCAGAAGAGGAGAGUGGAACUCCAUGUGUAGCGGUGGAAUGCGUAGAUAUAUGGAAGAACACCAGUGGCGAAGGCGGCUCUCUGGUCUGCAACUGACGCUGAGGCUCGAAAGCAUGGGUAGCGAACAGGAUUAGAUACCCUGGUAGUCCAUGCCGUAAACGAUGAGUGCUAAGUGUUGGGAGGUUUCCGCCUCUCAGUGCUGCAGCUAACGCAUUAAGCACUCCGCCUGG